CCCUUAGAUGUUCUGGGCCGCACGCGCGCUACACUGAAUGGAUCAACGUGUUUUCCCUUCCCGAGAGGGACGGGUAACCCGCUGAACCCCAUUCGUGGUAGGGAUCGGAGCUUGCAAUUGUUCUCCGUGAACCAGGAAUUCCCAGUAAGCGCAAGUCAUAAGCUUGCGUUGAUUACGUCCCUGCCCUUUGUACACACCGCCCGUCGCUACUACCGAUUGAAUGGUUUAGUGAGAUCCUCGGAUUGGCCAUCUCGGCGUGACUUCGGUUGUGCACGUGGUGGCCGAGAAGACGAUCAAACUUGAUCAUUUAGAGGAAGUAAAAGUCGUAACA
rnacentral:rRNA from 1 species